UUGUAAAUAACAUAAUAAAGUGUGUAUGGUUUCGGCCCAUAAUUUAGAGGUAAUUAGUCCUUUUUUAUAAA
rnacentral:tRNA from 1 species